GAUGAACGCUGGCGGCGUGCUUAACACAUGCAAGUCGAACGAUGAAGCCCAGCUUGCUGGGUGGAUUAGUGGCGAACGGGUGAGUAACACGUGAGUAACCUGCCCUUAACUCUGGGAUAAGCCUGGGAAACUGGGUCUAAUACCGGAUAGGAGCGUCCACCGCAUGGUGGGUGUUGGAGAGAUUUAUCGGUUUUGGAUGGACUCGCGGCCUAUCAGCUUGUUGGUGAGGUAAUGGCUCACCAAGGCGACGACGGGUAGCCGGCCUGAGAGGGUGACCGGCAACACUGGGACUGAGACACGGCCCAGACUCCUCCGGGAGGCAGCAGUGGGGAAUAUUGCACAAUGGGCGCAAGCCUGAUGCAGCGACGCCGCGUGAGGGAUGACGGCCUUCGGGUUGUAAACCUCUUUCAGUAGGGAAGAAGCGAAAGUGACGGUACCUGCAGAAGAAGCACCGGCUAACUACGUG
rnacentral:rRNA from 1 species